ensembl:lncRNA
GUUCUAGUUACACCUCUGCCAUAUUGACAGAAAUGUCAUCCUCACACCCCUGGACAUUAGAAUUGAAAUCAUAAGGGGGUUUCACCCCUUGCAAUGUUAAAUUCAAUAGAAUUGUUUUCUUGUUUACAUUAGUGACCAUAUCAGAGCACAGUGUAGUCCUCUUGCCGUAUUCAGAGGAUUUGCCUAUGGGCAGCAACAUUAUUCUCUCGUUCUCUGGAUAUUAGGAACAAUAUCACAGGACCGGCGGACAGCCCCAGUCAUAUCUGACCAUACCACAGGACGGUGUACUCCUCUUGCCGUAUUCAGAGGAUUUGCCUAUGGGCAGAAACAUUCUCCUCUACUUCUCUGGAUAUUAGAAACAUUAUCACAGGACCGGCAAACAGCUGCAGUCAUAUCGUGAGUAAUGUCAUCUGUAAUCCCCUAGUUAUUAAAAACAACAUCACGGGGGUCUUCUGAAAUGAAUGAGAUACUUAGAGUAAUGUUUGAAUUUCGGUAUUUUACAUGAGAGAGUAUACUGAGUUGGUGUAUAUACACCAAAACCAAGUAGAAAAGGGCAUUGUAUAUUUUUUCUGACAGAUUAUAUUCAGAGCAAUAUUGCAUUAAAUUUUGGGGCGUCUAGAUAUUAUUUAGAUUUAUUUUGAUUCUCGUAAAAUUACAAUUUCGGUAUUUUACAUGAGAGAGCAUAUUGAGUUGGUGUAUAUACGCCAAAACAGAGUAGAAAAGGGCAUUGUAUAUUUUUUCUGACAGAUUAUACUCAGAGCAAUUUUGCUUUUAAUAUUCGGGUGCCUAGAUAAUAUUUAGAUUUUUUUCGAUUUUCGGAGAAUUAGAAUUGCUGUAUUUUACAUGAGAGAGCACACUGAGUUGCUGUAUAUACUCCAAAACAGAGUAGAAUAAGGCAUUGUGUAUUUUUUCUAACAGACUAUAUUCAGAGCCAUUUUAUUUUAAAUUUGCGGAGCCUAGAUAUUAUUUAGAUUUUUUUUCGUUUUGCGUAAAAUUAGAAUUUCGGUAUUUUACAUGAGAGAGUAUAUUGAGUUGGUGUAUAUACAACAAAAUAAAGUAGAAAAGGGCAUUGUAUAUUUUUUCUGACAGAUUAUAUUCAGGGCAAUUUUGCCUUUAACAUUGGGGUGCCUAGAUAAUAUUUAGAUUUUUUUCGAUUCGCUUAAAUAUAGAAUUUCUGUAUUUUACCUUAAAGAGCAUAUGGAGUUGGUUUAUAUACCCCAAAACAGAGUAGAAUAGGGCAUUGUAUAUUUUUUCUGACAAAUUAUAUUAAGAGCAAUUCUUCUUUUAACAUUGGGGUGCCUAGAUAAUAUUUAGAUUUUUUUCGAUUCACGUAAAAUUAGAAUUUCGGUAUUUUACAUGAUUGAGCAUACUGAGUUGGUGUAUAUACUCUAAGAAAGAGUAGAUUACGUCAUUGUAUAUUUUCUCUGACUGACUAUAUUCAGAGCAAUAUUGCUUUUAACAUUGGGGUGCCUAGAUAAUAUUUAGAUUUUUUUCAAUUCGCUUAAAUAUAGAAUUUCUGUAUUUUACAUGAGAGAGCUUAUGGAGUUGUUGUGUAUACUCCAAAACAGAGUAGAAUAGGGC